ensembl:antisense Gm10069 predicted gene 10069
AGGCUUAUGGGACUGAGCAACUAUUGGAUUCUUGGACUUCCCAAUCACAGCUAACCAUUGUUGGAUUAGUUGGACUUGCAGUACAGCAUCCCAGAAGCAACAACAAUAUGUCACUCAUUUGACACGCAAGUAUCUGAGUGAUGACCACUGCUGUACUGUCUUCCAUGGGGAGUCUACUUCCAUUCACCGGGACUAGGUGAGGGAGGGAGGAGAAGGAGGAGUCAAGCAGAGUCCAACCCAGUUCUUAAAGGACUUGACCUAGGAGGAGUCACUAUGGGAUCUAGCCUCCCUUCUAACCUUAUAACUGGGAGUUGGAUUUUGAGAUAUUAGGAAAAAGUAAAUAAAAUCCAUGAAGCAGCCCUACACUCUGUCUGGUCACAGAGCCAUUGCUUGUGGAGACAAUGGCAGGGGACACUUCAUGCCAGUGUCACAUCUGAGGAACUCCCGAAGCAGAAUGAGACCAGCAUCCCUCGCAAGAAUAGGAAGAGGCCUAAUCUAUAGGAACCAAGGGAUGAGAAAUGAAGACAAAAAAAUGUAGACAGAGGUCACAUUCAGGGUCUCUCCACAGACCUGAGUGGAGGAGAAGCCCCCGUGGGAGUUUUGUUGCUUGCUGAUCCACUUCACAAUCUUGGAUGCUGUGGACAGGUCUGAUGAAGACAGGUCCCGUGUGGGCCGGGA